rnacentral:rRNA from 1 species
UACGUAGGUGGCAAGCGUUACUCGGAAUCACUAGGCGUAAAGCGCAGGUAGGAGGUUUGGUAAGUCUGUUGUGGAAGCUCCCGGCUCAACUGGGAGAGGUCAACGGAAACUACUAGGCUAGAGUGCGGUAGAGGAAGGUGGAAUUCCCGGUGUAGCGGUGAAAUGCGUAGAUAUCGGGAGGAAUACCUAUGGCGAAAGCAGCCUUCUGGACCGUCACUGACUCUGAUCUGCGAAAGCUAGGGGAGCAAACAGG